UUCAAUAAGCGGAGGAAAAGAAACUACCAAGGAUUCCCYUAGUAACGGCGAGUGAAGAGGGAAGAGCCCAAGAUUGAAAGCUGGCGUCUUCGGCGUCCGCAUUGUAAUCUCAAGAAGUGUUUUCCGCUUCGGACCAUGCCUAAGUCCCUUGGAAAAGGGCAUCAUAGAGGGUGAUAAUCCCGUACAUGGCAUGGAGCGCCCGAGGCUUUGUGAUACGCUUUCUAAGAGUCGAGUUGUUUGGGAAUGCAGCUCAAAAUGGGUGGUAAAUGCCAUCUAAGGCUAAAUAUUGGGGAGAGACCGAUAGCGAACAAGUACAGUGAUGGAAAGAUGAAAAGAACUUUGAAAAGAGAGUUAAACAGUACGUGAAAUUGCCAAAAGGGAAGGGUAGGAGGUCAGAGAUGCGUCUUGGGAUUCAGCCUUGCCAUUGGCAUGGUGUUUUUCCCAAGUUUGCAGGCCAACGUCGGUUUUGGGCACUGGAGAAGGGUGGAAGGAAUGUGGCACCUCUCGGGGUGUGUUAUAGCCUUCUACUGGAUACAGCGACCGAGACCGAGGACAGCAGCGUACUCGUAAGAGCGGGCCUUCGGGCACUUUACGCUUARGGCGUUGGCAUAAUGGCCCUCUACCACCCGUCUUGAAACACGGACCAAGGAGUCU
rnacentral:rRNA from 1 species